AGUCUGGCUGGGCACAAAAUAACCCAGCCGCCACACAGCCUUGUAGGUUCAAAACAGGAACUCCUUAAUUCUCCGCACUCCUGCGAAUGAACUCCACGCACAAGGCCUUCUUCUUCUUCUUCCCUACCAACUGGAAAUCCCUCCUCCACAAAUCCCUCCUCAGGCACUUCCCCAACCAACAACUCCCCAGGAAUCCCCUGAGAACUCCAAAGUAGCAGGCCAAAAGGACAGCAGGGGUCUAAUAUACAAUUGAAUACACAGCUUAACAUAACCAUCAUCAUCUCAAUGGCUUGCUGGCAUCACCUCUCAACCACUCUGUUCUGGCAAAAAUGCCAUGUGUCAUCCCUACUUGGCUGUGGCCCUCAACAAGUAUUUUCAUGGUAGCAUCUUGUCCUUUGGUUUGUGCAAAGAAUCGCUGCAGAGGUACUACUUUUUCAUGGUAUAUUCUUGUGAGCACAUUCAAAUAUUUAUAUUAAGUUUUUUAAGUGGUAAGAGAUAGAUAGGGGUCUAGUUUCAUUCUUCCAUAUGUGGCUAGCCAGCACUAUUUAUCAAAAUGAUUAUCCUGGGGCCAGGGUUGUGGCUCAGUGGCAGAGUGCUUGCCUACAUGCAUGAGACACUGGGUUCAAUCACUGGCACCAUAUAAAAAUAAAAACAAAUAAAAUAAAGGUAUUAUGUCCAUCUGCAACUAAAAAAAAAAAGAAAAAAGAAAUGAUUUUUCUUUCUUCAGAGCAUGUUUUUAGCCUCUGUUUUGAAAAUUGUUAUGAUUUGGACAUGAGUUGUCCUUGUGUGAGACAGUGCAAGAAGGUUCAGAGAAAUGAAUGAUCUGACUGUUAAAAGUCUUAACCCAGUUAGUGAUUUAAUCCCCUCAUAGGCAUUAACUGAAUGGUGGCUGUAGUAGUAGGGUAUAGCUGGAGGAGGUGGGAAUCAGGGUGUGGCUUUGGUGUAUAUAUUUUAUCUGGAGAGUUGAGUCUCUCUCUGCCUCCUGGUCACCAUGAUGUGAGCUGCUUCCUUUGGCCACCAUCUCCUGCCAUGAUGUUCAGCCUCACCCCAAGCCCAGAGGAAUGAAGCUGGCCCUCUGUGGACUAAGGCCUCUGAAACUGUGAGGCCUCAAAUAAAUUUUUCCUCCUUUAAAAUUGUUCUGGUUAGGUCCUUUAGUCACAACAGCAAAAAAGCUGACUAAAACAAAAAUCAUUUGGCUUCAAAUGUGAGGGUUUAAUUUUAAGCUCUCUAUUCUGUUCUCUUGCUCUCAGUGUCUGCUUUUCUGCCAGUAUCAUGUUGUUUUUAUUACUACAGCUUUGUGAUAUAUUUUGAAGUCAAGUAGUUUAAUGUCUCCU
rnacentral:lncRNA from 1 species